UUAAAGCUCCACCAUGAGUCCAAU
rnacentral:miRNA from 1 species